rnacentral:rRNA from 1 species
AUACGUAGGUGGCAAGCGUUGUCCGGAUUUAUUGGGCGUAAAGCGAGCGCAGGUCGGUUUUUUAAGUCUGAUGUGAAAGCCUUCGGCUCAACCGAAGAAAUGCAUCGGAAACUGGGAAACUUGAGUGCAGAAGAGGACAGUGAAACUCCAUGUGUAGCGGUGAAAUGCGUAGAUAUAUGGAAGAACACCAGUGGCGAAGGCGGCUGUCUGGUCUGUAACUGACGCUGAGGCUCGAAAGUAUGGGUAGC